rnacentral:rRNA from 1 species
CAGCCGCCACGGUAAUACAGAGGAUGCAAGCGUUAUCCGGAAUGAUUGGGCGUAAAGCGUCUGUAGGUGGCUUUUCAAGUCCGCCGUCAAAUCCCCGGGCUCAACCCUGGACAGGCAGUGGAAACUACCAAGCUGGAGUACGGUAGGGGCAGAGGGAAUCCCACGUGUAGCGGUGAAAUGCGUAGAGAUGUGGAGGAACACCAGUGGCGAAGGCGACUCUCUGGUCUGUAACUGACACUGAGGAGCGAAAGCGUGGGGAGCGAACAGGAUUAGAUACCCCCGUAGUCCCUGUCUCUUAUAA